UACGGAGGGGGCUAGCGUUGUUCGGAAUUACUGGGCGUAAAGCGCGCGUAGGCGGAUCUGCAAGUCGGGGGUGAAAUCCCGAGGCUCAACCUCGGAACUGCCUUCGAUACUGCGGGUCUCGGUAGUCCGGGGAGAGGUGAGUGGAAUUCCUAGUGUAGAGGUGAAAUUCGUAGAUAUUAGGAAGAACACCAGUGGCGAAGGCGGCUCACUGGCCCGGUACUGGACGCUGAGGCGCGAAAGCGUGGGGAGCAAACAGGG
rnacentral:rRNA from 1 species